rnacentral:lncRNA from 1 species
AGAACUACAAUGGUUCUGAUGGAUAGCCUGUGAGAGGCCCAGGCUGCCUGUUUGUAUAUAAGAGCAGUCAUUUGUCUUUCCUGUAGCCCAGCCGCUCUCUCCGACUAGUACAUGUCCCUGGGCCUGGAAAUAAUUGAUUUCCCCCUCCAGGAUGGAGAAGCUGUCUUCAUUAUAGUAUGGGGAUUCUAGUGGAGGGAUAUAGGUAGGAUGGAGAAGCUGUCAUCAUUAUAGUAUGGGGAUUCUAGUGGAGGGAUAUAGGUAGGAUGGAGAAGCUGUCUUCAUUAUAGUAUGGGGAUUCUAGUGGAGGGAUAUAGGUAGGAUGGAGAAGCUGUCUUCAUUAUAGUAUGGGGAUUCUAGUGGGGGGAUAUAGGUAGGAUGGAGAAGCUGUCUUCAUUAUAGUAUGGGGAUUCUAGUGGAGGGAUAUAGGUAGCACACAGGAGGAAAUAGUUCUCUGUUGAGAUCAUUUCCUUUAGAAUUUCUAGCCAAAUGUAAAAUGUUCCUGUUUUGAUUAAUUUAAUAGAGUGAGUUAGUUCUGCUCUAUACCAAAUUACCAUAGCCCCUGAG